rnacentral:rRNA from 1 species
UACAGAGGGGGCAAGCGUUGUUCGGAAUUACUGGGCGUAAAGGGCGCGUUAGGCGGCCUUCUAAGUCGAACGUGAAAUCCCCGGGCUCAACCCGGGAACUGCGUCCGAUACUGGAAGGCUUGAAUCCGGGAGAGGGAUGCGGAAAUUCCAGGUGUAGCGGUGAAAUGCGUAGAUAUCUGGAGGAACACCGGUGGCGAAGGUCGGCAUCCUGGACCGG